rnacentral:rRNA from 1 species
GAUGAACGCUGACAGAAUGCUUAACACAUGCAAGCCGAUUCAAGUUACCUUCGGGUAACGAGGAUGGCGGACGGGUGAGUAACGCGUAAGGAACUUGCCUCUUGGUCUGGGACAACUGUUGGAAACGACAGCUAAUACCGGAUAUUAUGAGAUUCUCGCAUGGGAAACUUAUGAAAGCUAUAUGCGCCAAGAGAGAGCCUUGCGUUCCAUUAGCUAGUUGGUGGGGUAACGGCCCACCAAGGCGACGAUGGAUAGCCGGCCUGAGAGGGUGAACGGCCACAAGGGGACUGAGACACGGCCCUUACUCCUACGGGAGGCAGCAGUGGGGAAUAUUGGACAAUGGGCCACAAGCCUGAUCCAGCAAUUCUGUGUGCACGAUGAAGGUCUUCGGAUUGUAAAGUGCUUUCAGUUGGGAAGAAGUAAGUGACGGUACCAACAGAAGAAGCGACGGCUAAAUACGUGCCAGCAGCCGCGGUAA